rnacentral:rRNA from 1 species
UGAGUACGAGCUGCUACGGCAGCGAAGUGGGUGACGUCAAGCUUCCAAGAAAAGCCCUAUACCCGUUAAGGCAUGAUGGCCUGUACCCGAAACCGGCACAGGUGGGGUGGUAGAGAAUACCGAGGGGCGCGGGAUAACUCUCUCUAAGGAACUCGGCAAAAUGGCCCCGUAACUUCGGGAGAAGGGGUGCCACCGCAAGGUGGUCGCAGUGAAGAGGCCCAGGCGACUGUUUACCAAAAACACAGGUCUCCGCUAAGUCGCAAGACGAUGUAUGGGGGCUGACGCCUGCCCAGUGCCGGAAGGUUAAGGAAGCUGGUCAGCGUAAGCGAAGCUAGCGACUGAAGCCCCGGUGAACGGCGGCCGUAACUAUAACGGUCCUAAGGUAGCGAAAUUCCUUGUCGGGUAAGUUCCGACCCGCACGAAAGGCGUAACGAUCUGGGCGCUGUCUCGGAGAGAGGCUCGGCGAAAUAGAAUUGUCUGUGAAGAUGCGGACUACGUGCACCCGGACAGAAAGACCCUAUGAAGCUUUACUGUAGCUUGGUAUUGUGCUCGGGCUCGGAAUGCGCAGGAUAGGUGGGAGGCUAUGAACCAUUGCUUGUGGGUGAUGGUGAGCCACUGGUGAGAUACCACUCUUUCCGAGCUAGAGUUCUAACAGCCACCCGUUAUCCGGGGGCUGGACAGUAUCAGGUGGGCAGUUUGACUGGGGCGGUCGCCUCCUAAAAGGUAACGGAGGCGCGCAAAGGUUUGCUCAGGCUGGUUGGAAAUCAGCCGACGAGUGUAAAAGCAGAAGCAAGCUUGACUGUGAGACCUACAAGUCGAACAGGGAGGAAACUCGGCUUUAGUGAUCCGACGGUUCUGCGUGGAAGGGCCGUCGCUCAACGGAUAAAAGUUACUCUAGGAUAACAGGCUGAUCUCCCCCAAGAGUUCACAUCGACGGGGAGGUUUGGCACCUCGAUGUCGGCUCAUCGCAACCUGGGGCUGAAGUCGGUCCCAAGGGUUGGGCUGUUCGCCCAUUAAAGCGGUACGCGAGCUGGGUUCAGAACGUCGUGAGACAGUUCGGUCCAUAUCCGGUGCAUGCGCAGGAAUAUUGAGAGGAUUUCUCCCUAGUACGAGAGGACCGGGAGGAACGCACCUCUGGUGUACCAGUUAUCGUGCCAACGGUAAACGCUGGGUAGCCAUGUGCGGAGAGGAUAACCGCUGAAAGCAUCUAAGUGGGAAGCCCACCUCAAGAUGAGUAUUCCCAUGGGUUAACCCAGUAAGGUCACGGGAAGAACACCCGUUGAUAGGCUCUACGUGGAAGCGCAGUAAUGUGUGAAGCGGAGGAGUACUAAUAGACCGAGGGCUUGACC